UCGGGAAUUUUGGGCAAUGGGCGAAAGCCUGACCCAGCAACGCCGCGUGAGGGAUGAAGUAUUUCGGUAUGUAAACCUCGAAAGAAUGGGAAGAAUAAAUGACGGUACCAUUUAUAAGCUCCGGCUAACUACGUGCCAGCAGCCGCGGUAAUACGUAGGGAGCAAGCGUUGUUCGGAUUUACUGGGCGUAAAGGGCGCGUAGGCGGCAAUUCAAGUCAGCUGUGAAAUCUCUGAGCUUAACUCAGAACGGCCAAGUGAUACUGCUGUGCUAGUGUGCGGAAGAGGCAACCGGAAUUCUUGGUGUAGCGGUGAAAUGCGUAGAUAUCAAGAGGAACACCUGAGGCGAAGGCGGGUUGCUGGGCCGACACUGACGCUGAUGCGCGAAAGCCAGGGGAGCAAACG
rnacentral:rRNA from 1 species